rnacentral:rRNA from 1 species
AACGAACGCUGGCGGCAGGCCUAACACAUGCAAGUCGAACGCACCGCAAGGUGAGUGGCAGACGGGUGAGUAACGCGUGGGAAUCUACCCGAUGGUACGGGACAACCAGGGGAAACUCUGGCUAAUACCGUAUGUGCCCCAAGGGGGAAAGAUUUAUCGCCAUCGGAUGAGCCCGCGUCGGAUUAGCUAGUUGGCAGGGUAACGGCCUACCAAGGCGACGAUCCGUAGCUGGUCGAGAGGACGGCCAGCCACACUGGGACUGAGACACGGCCCAGACUCCUACGGGAGGCAGCAGUGGGGAAUAUUGGUCAAUGGGCGAAAGCCUGAACCAGCCAUGCCGCGUGAGUGAUGAAGGCCCUAGGGUUGUAAAGCUCUUUCAGCGGGAAGAUAAUGACGGUA